GAACUGUUUUGAAAGAUUUCUUCGGAAUGAAUUUGAUUUAGUUUAGUGGCGGACGGGUGAGUAACGCGUGAGUAACCUGCCUUCAAGAGGGGGAUAACAUUCUGAAAAGAAUGCUAAUACCGCAUGAUAUAUCGGAACCACAUGGUUCUGAUAUCAAAGAUUUUAUCGCUUGAAGAUGGACUCGCGUCCGAUUAGUUAGUUGGUGAGGUAACGGCUCACCAAGACCGCGAUCGGUAGCCGGACUGAGAGGUUGAACGGCCACAUUGGGACUGAGACACGGCCCAGACUCCUACGGGAGGCAGCAGUGGGGGAUAUUGCGCAAUGGGGGCAACCCUGACGCAGCAACGCCGCGUGAAGGAUGAAGGUUUUCGGAUUGUAAACUUCUUUUUAUUAAGGACGAAAAAAUGACGGUACUUAAUGAAUAAGCUCCGGCUAACUACGUGCCAGCAGCCGCGGUAAUACGUAGGGAGCAAGCGUUGUCCGGAUUUACUGGGUGUAAAGGGUGCGUAGGCGGCUUUGCAAGUCAGAUGUGAAAUCUAUGGGCUCAACCCAUAAACUGCAUUUGAAACUGUAGAGCUUGAGUGAAGUAGAGGCAGGCGGAAUUCCCCGUGUAGCGGUGAAAUGCGUAGAGAUGGGGAGGAACACCAGUGGCGAAGGCGGCU
rnacentral:rRNA from 1 species